AGUGAACGCUGGCGGUAGGCCUAACACAUGCAAGUCGAACGGCAGCACAGUAAGAGCUUGCUCUUACGGGUGGCGAGUGGCGGACGGGUGAGGAAUACAUCGGAAUCUACUUUUUCGUGGGGGAUAACGUAGGGAAACUUAUGCUAAUACCGCAUACGACCUACGGGUGAAAGCAGGGGAUCUUCGGACCUUGCGCGGUUGAAUGAGCCGAUGUCGGAUUAGCUAGUUGGCGGGGUAAAGGCCCACCAAGGCGACGAUCCGUAGCUGGUCUGAGAGGAUGAUCAGCCACACUGGAACUGAGACACGGUCCAGACUCCUACGGGAGGCAGCAGUGGGGAAUAUUGGACAAUGGGCGCAAGCCUGAUCCAGCCAUACCGCGUGGGUGAAGAAGGCCUUCGGGUUGUAAAGCCCUUUUGUUGGGAAAGAAAAGCAGCAGGUUAAUACCCCGCUGUUCUGACGGUACCCAAAGAAUAAGCACCGGCUAACUUCGUG
rnacentral:rRNA from 1 species